rnacentral:rRNA from 1 species
UACGUAGGGGGCGAGCGUUGUCCGGAUUCAUUGGGCGUAAAGAGCUCGUAGGCGGCUUGGUAAGUCAGGGGUGAAAUCUCCAGGCUCAACCUGGAGUCGCCACCUGAUACUGGUAUGGCUUGAGUCCGGUAGGGGAUCACGGAAUUCCUGGUGUAGCGGUGAAAUGCGCAGAUAUCAGGAGGAACACCGGUGGCGAAGGCGGUGAUCUGGGCCGGCACUGACGCUGAGGAGCGAAAGCGUGGGGAGCGAACAGG